GGAAGUAAAAGUCGUAACAAGGUUUCCGUAGGUGAGUGACGGUCAACCCUUUUUACCCCACUAUCAGUAGCACUUUACUAACUUUAAAAUAGGUGAACCUGCGGAAGGAUCAUUAUCGAGUUAGGGUCUUUUGGCCCAACCUCCAACCCUUUGUUUACCUGACCACUUGUUGCUUUGGCGAGCCAGUUUCUAUUUAAUUAGGGACCGCCAGUGGGCUUAACCGCCCCUGGAUUGCACUUGCCAAUAGCCUAUACUUAAACUAUUGCUGAAAUGUGGCGUCUUAUCAACAAACAUUUAAAAGCAAAAACUUUCAACAACGGAUCUCUUGGUUCUGGCAUCGAUGAAGAACGCAGCGAAAUGCGAUAAGUAAUGCGAAUUGCAGAAUCCGUGAGUCAUCGAAUUUUUGAACGCAUAUUGCGCCCUUUGGCAUUCCGAAGGGCAUGCCUGUUCGAGCGUCAUUAUCACCUCUCAAGCCUAGCUUGCAGUUGGACUUUUAUAAAAGCUCGGGCUUUGAUGCCCCUGCUGGUCCCAAAGAUAAUGACGGCGUCUGUGAACGACCCCCAGUACACUGAGUUCUUGUAGCACGUACUUGGUUGGAGUUCCGGGCCCGGUCUAACUAUGCAAAUUUUCUUAGGUUGACCUCGGAUCAGGUAGGGAUACCCCGCUGAACUUAAGCAUAUCAUAAGCGGAGGA
rnacentral:rRNA from 1 species